AUUGAACGCUGGCGGCAUGCCUUACACAUGCAAGUCGAACGGCAGCGGGGGAGAAGCUUGCUUUUCCUGCCGGCGAGUGGCGAACGGGUGAGUAAUACAUCGGAACGUGCCCUGUAGUGGGGGAUAACUAUUCGAAAGAUUAGCUAAUACCGCAUACGACCUGAGGGUGAAAGUGGGGGACCGCAAGGCCUCAUGCUAUAGGAGCGGCCGAUGUCUGAUUAGCUAGUUGGUGGGGUAAAGGCCUACCAAGGCGACGAUCAGUAGCUGGUCUGAGAGGACGAUCAGCCACACUGGGACUGAGACACGGCCCAGACUCCUACGGGAGGCAGCAGUGGGGAAUUUUGGACAAUGGGCGAAAGCCUGAUUCAGCAAUGCCGCGUGUGUGAAGAAGGCCUUCGGGUUGUAAAGCACUUUUGUCCGGAAAGAAAUGGCUCUGGUUAAUACCUGGGGUCGAUGACGGUACCGGAAGAAUAAGGACCAGCUAACUACGUGCCAGCCGCCGCCGUAA
rnacentral:rRNA from 1 species